AACGAACGCUGGCGGCGUGCUUAACACAUGCAAGUCGAACGGUACGUCCCCAUCUUGUUGCGGUCCACGAGUUGCAAACGGGUGAGUAACCCGUGGGUUACCUGUCCUGCACUUCGGGAUAUGCUUGGGAAACUGGGUCUAAUACCGCAUAGGAUCGCUCCCCGUUGGUUGGGUGGGAAGUUUUUUCGGUGUGUGAUGGGCCCGCGGCCUAUCAGCUUGUUGGUGGGGUAAUGGCCUACCAAGGCGGGGACGGGUAGCCGGCCUGAGAGGGUGGACGGCCAAAUUGGGACUGAGACACGGCCCAGACUCCUACGGGAGGCAGCAGUGGGGAAUAUUGCACAAUGGGCGGAAGCCUGAUGCAGCGACGCCGCGUGGGGGAUGACGGCCUUCGGGUUGUAAACUCCUUUCACCAUCGACGAAGGGUUUCUGACGGUAGAUGGAGAAGAAGCACCGGCUAACUACGUG
rnacentral:rRNA from 1 species